AGAGUUUGAUCCUGGCUCAGAUUGAACGCUGGCGGCAGGCCUAACACAUGCAAGUCGAGCGGUAACACAGGGAGCUUGCUCCUGGGUGACGAGUGGCGGACGGGUGAGUAAUGUCUGGGAAACUGCCCGAUGGAGGGGGAUAACUACUGGAAACGGUAGCUAAUACCGCAUAACGUCGCAAGACCAAAGAGGGGGACCUUCGGGCCUCUUACCAUCGGAUGUGCCCAGAUGGGAUUAGCUAGUAGGUGGGGUAAUGGCUCACCUAGGCGACGAUCCCUAGCUGGUCUGAGAGGAUGACCAGCCACACUGGAACUGAGACACGGUCCAGACUCCUACGGGAGGCAGCAGUGGGGAAUAUUGCACAAUGGGCGCAAGCCUGAUGCAGCCAUGCCGCGUGUAUGAAGAAGGCCUUCGGGUUGUAAAGUACUUUCAGCGAGGAGGAAGGCAUUGUGGUUAAUAACCGCAGUGAUUGACGUACUCGCAGAAGAAG
rnacentral:rRNA from 1 species